rnacentral:rRNA from 1 species
GCAAGUCGAGCGGAAACGAUGGAAAGCUUGCUUUUCAGGCGUCGAGCGGCGGACGGGUGAGUAACGCUUGGGAAUAUGCCUUAUGGUGGGGGACAACAGUUGGAAACGACUGCUAAUACCGCAUAAUGUCUACGGACCAAAGGGGGGGAUCUUCGGACCUCUCGCCAUUUGAUUAGCCCAAGUGAGAUUAGCUAGUUGGUAAGGUAAUGGCUUACCAAGGCGACGAUCGGUAGCUGGUCUGAGAGGAUGAUC